rnacentral:rRNA from 1 species
UGCUGGAGGUAUCAGAAGUGCGAAUGCUGACAUAAGUAACGAUAAAGCGGGUGAAAAGCCCGCUCGCCGGAAGACCAAGGGUUCCUGUCCAACGUUAAUCGGGGCAGGGUGAGUCGACCCCUAAGGCGAGGCCGAAAGGCGUAGUCGAUGGGAAACAGGUUAAUAUUCCUGUACUUGGUGUUACUGCGAAGGGGGGACGGAGAAGGCUAUGUUAGCCGGGCGACGGUUGUCCCGGUUUAAGCAUGUAGGCUGGUUAUCCAGGCAAAUCCGGAUAAUCAAGGCUGAGGUGUGAUGACGAGGCACUACGGUGCUGAAGUAACAAAUGCCCUGCUUCCAGGAAAAGCCUCUAAGCAUCAGGUAACAUCAAAUCGUACCCCAAACCGACACAGGUGGUCAGGUAGAGAAUACCAAGGCGCUUGAGAGAACUCGGGUGAAGGAACUAGGCAAAAUGGUGCCGUAACUUCGGGAGAAGGCACGCUGGUGUGUAGGUGAAGCCCCUGCGGGUGGAGCUGAGACCAGUCGAAGAUACCAGCUGGCUGCAACUGUUUAUUAAAAACACAGCACUGUGCAAACACGAAAGUGGACGUAUACGGUGUGACGCCUGCCCGGUGCCGGAAGGUUAAUUGAUGGG